GAUCCUGGCUCAGAUUGAACGCUGGCGGCAUGCUUUACACAUGCAAGUCGAACGGCAGCGAGGAGAAGCUUGCUUCUCUGUCGGCGAGUGGCGAACGGGUGAGUAUAGCAUCGGAACGUGCCAAGUAGUGGGGGAUAACCAAACGAAAGUUUGGCUAAUACCGCGUAAGCUCCAAGGAGGAAAGUAGGGGACCUAAAUAAGGCCUUACGCUAUUUGAUCGGCCGAUGUCGGAUUAGUUAGUUGGUGGGGUAAUGG
rnacentral:rRNA from 1 species